rnacentral:lncRNA from 1 species
AGUUUGGUCUCUCAUGAGUCAAAUGUCUGUUUGAAUUUUUGUUUUCUUCUUAUCAACUUUUGUUGGCAUCCAUUUUUCUGAGCAACUUAUGCUGUAGUAGUUAUAGAAUGAAGUUUGUAUGAUGACAAGAAAAAAGAAAAAAAAGAAUGAAGUUUGUAUUUGAGAUUCUUCUGAAUCUUGAACCGUUUGGGUAAACAACUAAAUUUAAAUCAUCAAAGUACUUCCACGGUUUAAUUUGUGAC